AAUUAAGUAGUCUAAAAAGAUUUUAAAUUGCAAGUUUAAAGAUAAAUUUAUUAAUAAUUUCUUAGUUU
rnacentral:tRNA from 1 species